AGAGCUGUUGGGCUCUUAACUCCAGACAUCACCUUUGACUCCGUGUUGCCAACUAAAUUAAGACAAGAAAGGAUGAAGAAAUCACUUCUUUCACUGAUUAGCCCAUGAUGCCAGCCUCCUUCAUUGACUUCUUAGAUUUUCAGUCACUCAGUUUGAAGCUUUAUCCCAUGCCAUUCCUUACAUUUGGAAAGUGCUUCUUCAGACAUCUGUAAAGCUACCUCUUUAUCUUCCUUCUAAUCCUGUCUGUGAGGUUCCCCUGCCAUUAUGCCUUCAAAAGAAGUUUCAGAGUUUGGACUGAAUUUUCCUAGUUAUAAUGAGCUGUUCCCAAAAAAAAGAUUUCUGGAUCAGCUUCAAAUGGAGCACUCCCAAAGAUCUGAAGUAGCAGUGACUCAGGACCAAGUCAUCCCUUUAUGGGAAUUAUCUACGAAGGAAACUGGAAACUCCAUGGCAUCUCUCUGUCAUCUUUCCCUCCAGAUGGUGCCUCCAAAUCCCUUCUGAAGGCAAUUGUGUAAACCAGCAUUGCAACAAGAAAUGUCCACAGCUCCAACCGGUAGAAAUUAAUACCAUAGACAGAAAUACUAUCGCUGAAGCCAUGGAGGAAGAUGCAGACUCCAGUCCCUGACCAUUGAACUGCUGUGGUUUAAUUGUGCAAAACUGGGGUUCAAGAUUCAAGGUCGAAGCAGCAGUUGAUGCUACACGGAAAGACAAGCCAAGGAGACCUUGCUCAGGUUUCCUUACAUUCCAAAAAAAGAGGCCAGAACAGUAGCUUGGAGUAAUUUGAAGUUUAUCUCCCACUUAUACCUUCAGUCUUGUAAACUUCUUGAGCAUCUCUGUUACACUGCUCAAGAAAAUUACCUGCACAAAGCUGUCCGAACACAUGUAUGGAAUGUAUGCAGACAGACAAACAGUAUGUCUGUGAUUCCAUUUCCCUCUGCACUGUGGAGCUGGAUUCAUGUCACCAGGUUGCUUGUGCUGUGUCCAGUCCACUGGAACACUCCAGAGACAGAGAUUCUGCAAGUUCUGCUGAAUGCUGAUUGCCGCAAUGCAUUGGCUGUGGCUGUGCUGCUGAGUGCCGGGGCUGUGGGCAGGGGAUGGGACACACCUCACAGGACAUGGCCUGAGAAGCUCCUGAAUAUGGCAUCAGAAAUUGCUGGAUGUGACAGAUCACAAGGUGACACAAAUGUAUAUAUGGUGCUGUGAGGAAUUCCCAGGUGGUUAAGGAGUAGUUAUGUGAGGAACAGUGGAAUUUCAGAGAAAGAUGGGGCUCUGUGCUGAGGUUGUUUUGGGGUUUGGGAUAGCGCAAGGCCAACAGUACUCGGUAGCCAUAUCAGCUUACCCACACAAGGCUGAGGUCACCUUGAAAUGAUAUCAACAAUACCAAAAUUCAAAUUCAACAUCUACAGAUGUUGAAAAUGGAAAAGAGAUUAACUGGAUUUGUGGAGAGAUAAUAAGUCCAUUAACCUUUUAUCUGUUGCCUUUUGGCUAGUCAUCAGUUUAAUUUCUUCACACUUUUCAGUAUGAAGAUACCUGGGAACAAGAAGAUAUUGACUGAGAAUAAAGUUCCCAGUUCAACAUAACACUCUUCAUAAUACCACACUUAGACUGACCCUGUUACAGCUUGGUUAAUGCAGGAAAGCUGCAGCCAGUUGUCUCAGGAGUUUCACUGCAAGGGACUGGCUCAGAAGGUACAAAUUAUAUUACAGCCAAAGUGUUAUUAAAUUCUUUACCCCUUUAAAAAUCCUUUCCCUGCACUACUGCAUUUCUAGACUGACCUGACAUAGGCUAUGAGGACUGGUCCCCAGUCUCUAUGAUUUCUCAUAAAUGUUCAAUACAUAAGAAAACGUGUUCUGGCUUUACUUUUUCUUUCUUUUGAAUAACCAUAUUGAAUAUUUAUCUCAUACAUCAGGUAGCUGUUUAGGAAAGAAACAGCUGAGAAGCAGAUAAUGUGCCCCUUUCAUUGACAGAAGAUUUAUGUCUUGCCUGGCAGGACUUGGUACUUGGAGUGCUCACAGCUGACAUAGUCAAACACAAAGCACGUAGUCCAGUGUUUAUCCAGGGGAACCAAGACUGCUGCUCCCACACUUUUUUGUGUGAAGUUAAAUUAGCCACAUUGAAAUUGGCAAAGAUUUAAAAACACGAUAAAAAUUUUAUUAAGAAGGGGAGAGAGAGGCUCAGCAGCAGUUUGAAUCAAUUAAUACAGUGCAGAAGUAAGUAGGGUAUGCAUGAACAUUUCUGGUGACCUUCUGUAGGAGCCAUCUGUGUGCUUGUAAGGCACCCUUUCCCCAUAGGAACAUGUGAGGAAUUCAACCACAGCGCCGAGCACCCUUCCCCCACAGCUGUCACAACCACUGCAAUUUGGCUCUAGCAUUUGUAUCAUUGAAUUCCAUGCUGUGCCAGAAUGAGAAGGGAAAGAGAAUGAAACGUGUUCUUGGGUACCUCUUUGCCAUGGACUGCGUGUAGCUCGGGGUCAACUGUCUGCUCAGAAAAAAGGCUUAUCUGCAUUUCAGUACAACUCUUUUGUCAAUGUAUUAAAAAAAAAAAAAACAUUACUUUUUUCUUUUUAGGCAGGGGUUGAGAAAGGUAGACUAGAAUAAGAAAAUUCUGCAUUUCCCAGGAGAUCCUUAAUUUUUCCCAAGGAUAAUAUGACAGUUUCCUCCAGCUUUGCCACAGCUCAAAUGAAGCAGAAGGAAUAAAUGUCUUUUAGUGCGGUGCUUAUACUCAGAUGAGCUUUCAAGGCUGGCCAGAAGAAGGGGCAAAGGAUUGGGUGUACCUUCAUUUCCUGAAGUGAGCAGGUAAACCUGUGGGUUUUCCCAUUCCCUGGCCCUCAUCACUCUGCCAGUCCAGACAGGUCUACCCAUGGAAGUGCUACUGAUGGCAGCAUAAACUGAGUAUUGGAAAACAGGCAGAAUUUGCCCCAGAGGAAAUUAACCAUGAAUUGGCUUAAAAUACCACUUCCCAUCUAAUAUAAAUAAUGCUAAUAUCUUCAGAAGUAUUACUGUUAUCCUGGGAAUGAAUAACGAAAAGAAUUGAAUAGUCAGGAAAUUAAUUUUUGUAUGUGCUGGAAAGCCUAGAGGUUAAUGUAUGCAACUAGAUGGCCACAGACCUGAGGGCCAUUUCUUCCUUAGACAAUAUUCUGCAUUGCCAAGGCAAGUCACCAUGUUUCUUCUUCAAUAAUGUCAUCCAUAAAAUGAGAAUGAACCUACACGGCUCCCAUUCCAGUGAGGAUGGUAGAGCUCAUCUGCCUUGGUUGUGAAACGAGACUGCUCAGAUAGAAACAAGCUCCUGAAAUUCAAAUUAUUCAUAUUACUCCAUGCUGUUCCAUUACAGAAAAAUGGCGGAUUCUUCUGUGAUACUUAGGAAUAGAAAAACAGCAAAAUUUUCAGGGUUUUCUUUUACAUUGCUACAAAUCUGAAUAGAAUCUACCACAUACAGCAUUUGAUUAUUCAAGAGUUAUGCAAUAUCUGUUUUAUAUUGAUCUCUUAGAAAGAGACUAUAUUUAAUUUUUUUUGAAAAUAACAAGGUUUUUUUCUCUGUAGCUGUUUGCUGUUGUUUUCUGUGAGGGCACACAAUGAAACAGAUAUCUGGAGAUAUAUGGGAGCAAGGGCUUAGUAUGUGUAUGUAUGUGUGAAAAGUGUUUGAACCUGCAACCAGAUUUCAAAUUUUUCUUGAGUUUACAUACAAAAAAAUGUAAAUAUUUAGACUUAAAACAACAUCUCUUCUGUGUUAUUAAAAAAUAGAAGGGUAAAAAACAAAUCCUCCAGAACAGGAGUAUGGUAGGUAUUAUUUCUCCUCUCUCCCAGCACUCUUACAGCCCAGAAAUACAUACUUAAGAGUUAUAUUUUCAUCUUAGUUUGAUGUAGCAGAUUUUAGUGACUCAAAUCCGUUUUUCCAUUAGUGUGAGUUAAGCUGUUCAGGCUUUGCCCAUGGAUGCUGCCCUACUUUUGUCACUGUCUCUAUGAGCCUUCAGAUCAGUUUCCCUGCUCUGGCUGGCUGGAGCAUCACUCCCAGGCUAAAGCAACACCUGCUGUGCCUCUCCAACCUGUGGCACUUUUAACACUUCCUUUUCCCCUUCGGUUGAGGACAGCACCCAGGAUCACAGCCCUGGCAAGGACUGCUGAGUGCAGCCAGCCCAGGCAAGCAGUGCCCCACUGCCAGCACUGGGAGGCCUCCCAGCACAUCUGUCCCUGUUAGGUCCAGAGAUUAGCUGGGGAAGAGGCUGGGAACCAGUCUGGGCUUAGACCUGGUCUGUGUGCAUUCUGCCAGUCCUGCCCUGCAUACAGCUUCCCAUUUCCUUCUUGUUGUUCUUGGAUACGUGCACAUGGCACUUUGAAUUUUCACUCGUCCCUCUGAACCAUCCUCUCUAUUGUACUUUCAAUUAUUUCAUCUUUGUUUAUUUUUACUACAAGUAGUCGAAGGACAGAGAACUUGAUCCUUGUCUUAUCAUUGUGCAACCUAAAAUGGUAAUAUCUACCCUGAAGCGUCUGGUUUCCAGCCACACAGUGACAGGCAUUGCCUUGUAGUACAUGCCUAAAUUUCAAAACAUUGCAAGAGAAGAGCUUGAUACCUUACUGAAAUCUAUUUCAGCCUUUUUUAUGUUUUUAUUAUGAUUAAUGGAUGAAACAAAACCAUUUGUAGUGCCUUUAUUAUCACAAACAAUAUUGAAAGUAAUUUGACCCCUACAGUACUUUCUUUUUUUAAUAAUACUAUACAAUGGCAAAAAGGCUAUGAAAUCCUGUGCAGAGAUCUUUAUCUUAGUUGAACUGGUUGAAAUAUAGACAAUGGAAAUUCUCUGGGUUGACACUGGUAUAAUAGGAAGCAGCAUAUGACCUGCUCUUCUGAACAAUGUGCUGUCACCACAAACUACAUUCCCAUACCUACCCAACAUUAAAAGUUUAUUUGUCAGCCUGCUCCUGUGAGCUCUUUAUUUAUGGCUACUUUAUCAUCUGAAAUAAGCCAUGUUUUUCAUUAUUAGAAAUAUAACAGUCUGGCAAAAUCUGAAGUUGUAUAGGAGAAUGUGAAUGCUUUUAUUAUGAUGUCGUUUUGCUGUAAGCACUGGAGAAAUCAGAUAAUGUCAUACUGUGUUACUCAACUAACAGGUCAAGUGUGAUAUAAAAGCAUGAAGUUCAGAAAACCUCUCCUGGCACAGUGUGUUUUACUAAAGGACUAAAUUACUCUGUUUCUCCCAGGACUUGAAAAGUUGGGAACUCAAGGUAAUUUUUUUGUCUGCAUCUUCUUCAGCCAGAGACUGUUCAUAUGUGCACAGCACCUGCCUGACCAUGGGCUGUCCCUCAGAGGGUUCUGUCACAGCUGCCAGAGGAUAGGAUAGCAUUGUGUGCCAUUUACUGCCUUGUGUACCAACCAUUUAGCUUUGCAGAGAUGCUCCAAGAGCUCACCUGAGGAGUGAGAGCUGAGGUAAGACACUGACUGACAUACCUGAAUGCCAGUACCAGUACUGGUCACAUACAUUCAGCAGAACUAAGCUGCCAACUUUCUAAGUGUAAGGAAAAAAACUAUGUCCUGACGUUGUUCUCAAAUUCAACUCCUUACAGAAGGAUAAAUCAGGCUUUGCAGCAAUUUACCUUAAAAUGGGAAA